rnacentral:lncRNA from 1 species
GGUGCUCCAACUCCGAAGAUAACUGACAUGCCUCUUCCCGAAUACACAGUGGUACUUUUUGGUUUGCUCUCUCUCAUCAGGUCAUCCAGCUGCAUUUCACAACACAGCCCCAAAGAGACCUCACCAUGAAGCAAUUUUUACCAACAGCCUACACAUCCACCAAAAGAAGGUCUGUGACCCCCAUUAGACCUGCAAAGCUUGCUAGGUUUCCAGGACCAGGCAUGAUCCCUUGCUAGUAAGCAGACCUUAAAAUCCAGCAGACACCUGUUGGUUGUUGAUUCCAGUUUGCAUAGUAUUUUCUGGAACCAUAGAAGAUCGACCAUAAAAGAGAGACCUAUGGCUCAGAGCCAGCAUGAAUCAUUCCAGCUCCUCCUGUGGCCUAAGUGCAUGUAGUGUUUUCAGCAAUAGGCCUUCAACCAAGCUGUUUUGGGAAUC